rnacentral:pre_miRNA from 8 species
UCUGAUGGUAUUUGGCAAUGGUAGAACUCACACUGGUGAGGUAGUCAGAUCCGGUGGUUCUAGACUUGCCAACUACUACCUGAGA